AUUGAACGCUGGCGGAAUGCUUUACACAUGCAAGUCGAACGGCAGCACGGACUUCGGUCUGGUGGCGAGUGGCGAACGGGUGAGGAAGAUAUCGGAAGGGGCGCAGUCGUGGGGGAUAACGUAGGGAAAGGUACGCUAAGAGAGCAUACGAUCUAAGGAUGAAAGCGGGGGAUCGCAAGACCUCGCGCGAUUGGAGGGGCGGAUAUCCGAUUAGGUAGUUGGUGGGGUAAAGGCUCACCAAGCCAACGAUCUGUAGCUGGUCUGAGAGGACUACCACCCACACUGUGCCUCCCCCACGCUCCCGUCUCCUACUGGAUGCAGCCGUUGUCCAUUUUGUCCCAUUGACGCACGUCUGAUCCAGCCCUUCCGCGUGCAGGAUGAAGGCCCUCUGGUUGUAAACUGCUUUUGUCCGCACCGCACAUGUCUCCAUUCCUCCUUGGGGCUCAUGACGCUCCUGUAAGAAUAAGCACCGGCUAACUACGUGCCAGCCGCCGCGGUAA
rnacentral:rRNA from 1 species